rnacentral:lncRNA from 1 species
GAAGAACUAGAGUGAAGGACUGACCAGUUGGCAAAAUCUCCAGCAGAUUAAUGGAGACCAUCUGGAUGGAGGCGCUGCACUUAGGGGCCCGGUGGCGAGGGCCGGGCUCCCCAAAGGCCUGUGCCGUGCUGCCUUGCCCCCAGAGAAGACAGCAGUUCUGGCUGGAGUUCUAGUGUCCGAGAGCUGAGAGAGGGUGUGGUCUCGACCCGAGCGAGCACCCCUGCAGUUCCAGAUAUGGAAAGUCUGCUCACCACUGGCGGUUCUGGCCCAGAGGCACACAGCCCAUUACUCUCGAGCCAUGGCAGAAGCCAGAAUUCUGCUGCUGGAGGGAAGCAGGUGAAUUGAGAAGAGGAGAUCCGAGGAGACGUGUCGGGGAGUUGCCAGUGGUUCUUCUGGGCUCUCUCAAGGGGUUUAGACUGAGGCUGAUGGCACAAGCUCUUUAAAUGUCUGAUUUUGGUUAAAAAUGCAAGCAUUCCUUCUAUAGCACUUUAUCUUUUCCUUGGCUAGCACUGACCUAAGUUCUUCUCUCCUAACAGCCAUUGUAACCGUUUGGGUUUAAAAGGAAAGUGGAGAGGGAGAGAGAAGAAAGGAAAAUAGGAGACAAGAGGCAAGAAGGAGCCCAGCCUCACAAACUGGUGACCCUCAGGCAUGUUUUGUUGGGGCUUUGCCAUGCUGGCUCACACAGCAAUUAUUUUUAUAUUUUUAAAAAUUCUAUUGUAUUUUUCCAUCUUUACUGAGUAUAAUUGACAAAUAAAAAUUGUAUAUAUUAA